rnacentral:rRNA from 1 species
AACGAACGCUGGCGGCAGGCUUAACACAUGCAAGUCGAGCGAACCGGAGGGCUUGGCCCCGAGGUUAGCGGCGGACGGGUGAGUAACGCGUGGGAACGUGCCCUUGGGUAAGGAACAACAGUUGGAAACGACUGCUAAUACCUUAUGAUGUCUUUCGAGACCAAAGAUUUAUCGCCCAGGGAUCGGCCCGCGUUGGAUUAGGUAGUUGGUGGGGUAAUGGCCUACCAAGCCGACGAUCCAUAGCUGGUUUGAGAGGAUGAUCAGCCACACUGGGACUGAGACACGGCCCAG